rnacentral:tRNA from 2 species
UGUGAAUAUAGUUCAAGGGUAGAACAACUGUAUGUGGCACAGUAGCUUCCCUGUUCGAAUCAGGGUAUUCACC